GGCUCACUCAGUAGAGCAUGAGGCUCUUGACCUCAGGGUUGUGAGUUCGAGCCCCAC
rnacentral:tRNA from 1 species